UUUGUUUGAUUUUAGUAUAUAUAUAUAUAGGUUUUAUGGGCCCAAAAAAUAAAGCAUUGAUAUUUGGAGGAGAAAUCAACACUUUUUUAAAUGCAAAAUAUAAAUUGUUUAAUGGUACAAAUAUUAAGUGUAGAAACGGACAUGUACUUUUGUUUUCAUAAAAAGUGAGAUAUAUACGUAAACUGUAAAAGAUGUCAAUAAGUUUUUUAACUUCAACACUUGCACAUAUCAUGUCCAAAAUGUAGUGAAUUUAGCAAAAAAAUGCUGCUGAUGUUGCUUCUGUUUGAAACAGACAAACUUUUAGUUAACCAAACCACUAUUAAGCACUAUAUGAAAGAUUUGAAGAUUUAUAAAGCUUAAAAUACUGCGGGCUGAGUGGUCAAACCUUGAAAAAUCAGCAGAGUGAAAAGGUCUGUGAAGAAUAAAGAUGUGAAGACAAUGUGUUUCCUUAUUCUGUUAAUUAAUAAGGCGGAUAUUUGAACAUCAUUAGCAUCAAAAAAACUCAGGUGCAACUGCUAGGGACUGUUUCUAGCAUGUUUCUAGCAUCUAAACUAAAAGAAACUAUAUCUAGUACUGCAUAAAAAUUUGUUAUAUACAAUGACAAUUCUAUCACAGAGGAACUUUUGACUUCCAAUUCAGCAUUUUAAAUUCACCUUCUAUGAUUGCUGCUGCCGCAAUAUAUGCUGCAUGUAAAAGUCUGUCUUAUGAGCUUGGUCCCUCAUUACAAAAUCUGAAUUAGUUCAUUGGUUAAGAAAAAUAACUGGAGUAGAGGAGAAAGAUCAAACAGACUCUAAUCAAGUACUAAAAUGGGAUUAUGUUUUUGUAAUUAUCAUCGGUUUAUUUCCUGUUGGUAUCUUUUUUAAAUCAACCUUAAUUCAAAGUUGUAAUUCAGUACCAAAUAAUUAUGCCAUAUUUAAUACAUCUUCAACAGUAUAUAACCAGUUGAUUCUCAACAACAGUUUGAGAUAAUAUCCUUUUAAUUGUCCAAAUCAAGGAAAUCGUGAGCUUCAUCUUCCGCCUUCGUAUUCAGGUAGUUUACAGCUAUUGCCAUAUCAAUUUUUUUUUGUAAAACUUUUCGUUGUAUGCACACUCACUGCGCCUAUCCCUAAAUUAGUGGAUGUAUGUACACUCACUGCGCCUAUCCCUAAAUCAGUCGAUGUAUGUCACUCACUGCGCCUAUUCCUAAAUCAGUCGAUGUAUGUACACCACGGCGAUCUAUACUGCAGGCCUUGCCAACGCAAAAAACGUAUUUCAUUGGGGGCCUAUUUUAAGCUGUACUUAACUAUAAUCGCCAUUUUAGUGAUAUUGAAAUAUGGGUAAAAAGUGUUGUAUUUAUGGCUGUACCACAAAUUAUUUAUCGGCUAAAAAGAAAUCUGAUAAUUUAAAGAUCUCAGUAUAUCGAUUUCCUAAAAAUGAAGAUGAAAAACAAAUGUGGAUUAAAGUAAUUCCAAAUGCAAAUCUAAAGGUAACUAAUGACACUGUAGUUUGUGAGUUGCAUUGGCCAAUAAAUUUUGAAAAACAACAAGUUAGAGAAAAAUUUCGUCCUAAAUUUCCACCAUCUGUUUGGCCAGGCAUACCGUCUUGUCAAAUUCCCACUCAACCUCCUCCAUUACGUUCAACAAAUAGCGCCUCUUCAUGUAUUCGAAAUUUUGCUCAAGAUGAAUUAUCAGCCUUUUUAGAAAAAGAUAGAGUAACUUUUGCUGAAAUGAAAGAAAUUCUUUUAUGUAAUGAAAGAGAUUUGGGUGUUCCAUCAGUAUGUUUUAUGAUUAAUAGCAUUAUUCAUUUGCAAUCACAAGCUUAUUCAAAUGGGGUUCCAUAUUUUUUAAUCAAGAUUAGAGACGAUUUACAUUUUGAAACUUAUCACUAUGUAGUCAAAAUUAAAAUUCCUACAAUUUCUAAAAACAGAGUUUCAAAAAUUAAUGCAUGGUCAAUAUUAGAAGAAGUCCUACGUUAUUUAAAGAGUUUGAUUCCUGGAAGAAAAGAAAUUGUAAUUCAAAAACAUUUAGCUUCUAUGAGUACACAGUGUGUUGGAAAUAAGAUUUAUUCUAAAGUUAUUAUUAGAUCUUUUCAGUAUUUUGCUACAUCCAGAAGUUUGUAUAAUCAAUUGCGAACAGAUUACCAAUUGUCUUCUGUAAGAACUUUGACAAGAAUAACUUCAAAAGUUUCUAAAUUAAACGAAAAACUUUUUUUCACUAAUAUUUUUCAAUCUAUUGAAGAAAAACAGAAAAUUUGUUUGUUAUUGCAUGACAAGGUUUAUGUUAAAAAAAUGUUGUUAUAUCUUGGUGGUACAUUGUUCGGAAAAGCAAUGGAUGAUUCAACUUCUCUUGCAAAAACUGUAUUGGGUUUAAUGGUUAAUUUUUUAUUCGGUGGACCAUCGUUCAUUUCCAAAAUGAUACCUAUAAGUAAAUUAAACUCUCAAUUUCUUUUCGAACAAAUUAGCAUUACUAUUUAAUCAAUAAAGGAAUCAUCGGGUCAAGUCAAAGCCAUAAUAUGUGAUGGAAAUAGAAUUAAUCAGGCUUUUUUUAAAAUCUUCGAAUUCACAGUUUCAAGUAAACCUUGGUUGACUAAUAAUGGUGUUUUCUUAAUCUUUGAUUAUGUACAUUUGCUUAAAAACAUUAGAAAUAAUUGGCUUACUGAAAAAACUGGUCAACUUAUAUUUUAUGAUAAAGGGGUACAAAAAGUAGCACAAUGGGAUCACCUGAAAAAACUUUAUGAACUUGAAUCUAAAAACUUAGUUAAAUUGUCUAAUUUAAACGAAGUUUCAAUAUUUCCGAAGCCAAUCGAGAGGCAGUCAGUGUCUACCUGUUUAAGGAUAUUUUGUGACAAAACUUACCAUGCUUUGAUUAAUCAUCCAGGACUGCAGCAUAUAAAAGAAAGACAAGACACAGCAGAUUUUAUUAACAUUGUCGUAUCAUGGUGGAAAGUUCUUAAUGUUAAAGGAACAGGUGCAGAUGUUAGGUUUAAUGAUGAACUUCAAGCAGUUAUUAGAGAUCCUAAUGAUAAUAGAUUAGAAAAUAUUUUAGAUUUCGGAAAUAUGGCUUUAAAGAUGGCUGGAAAGCAAGGUAAAAGGAAGAAACAACUUACUUGUGACACUGCACAAUCAAAUUACCAUACGUGCAAUGGUGUUGUUGAAUUAUGUCGUUCAUUAUUGAAUAGCUCACACCAAUAUGUUAUUCUUAGUGAGUUUUCUACUGAUCCAUUGGAAAAAGAGUUUAGCAAAUUGCGACAAGGUUCCGGAGGUACAUAUUUUAUAACAGUACAACAGGUAAUUGAAAAACUGAAUAUUUCAAGAGCCAAGCUUUUACUAUCUCUUAAUAACCCAGCUGUUCACAUAUGUCUUGAUACAACCCAUUCUUGUCCAAAUUGUGGUUUUUUAUUGGAUGAGUCCUCUGCUGAGAUAUUUGACAACCUGCCAAAUCUUGAAUCUUUUAUUUCUUCUGAUACAAAUAUGGCACUUAUAUACAUUCCAGGAUAUUUAACUCGUAAAGAUAAUGAACUAUCAGAAAAUGAGCUGCUAGAAAAAACAACUUUCUACCACCAAAAGUUUGGACAAACAUAGACUCAAUUGACCGUGGUGGACUUAAUAUUCCCACAGAUAAUACCUGUCAAUGGGUAAUUUUCGCUCUACACUACUACUGGAUCUUUAGGAAUAUAUAUAUAUAUGGUUUUUGUUUUUGG
rnacentral:lncRNA from 1 species